UUUCCGUAGGUGAACCUGCGGAAGGAUCAUUAAAAAUGAAGCCGGGAAACCGGUCCUUCUCACCCUUGAUUAUCUCAAAUUGUUGCUUUGGUGGGCCGCGCAAGCACCGGCUUCGGCUGGAUUGUGCCCGCCAGAGGACCACAACUCUGUAUUAUAUGUCGUCUGAGUACUAUAAAAUAGUUAAAACUUUCAACAACGGAUCUCUUGGUUCUG
rnacentral:misc_RNA from 1 species